GUUGUCUGGUCAAGCUUAGCAAGCAGUGGGCAUUCCCAACCCCAGCGUUCCAUCCCCAUGGUUGGGAAUGCCCACCACUUGCUUAGGUUGACCACGCAAC